ensembl:misc_RNA Metazoa_SRP Metazoan signal recognition particle RNA
GCCGGGUGCGGUGGCGGGCACCUGUAGUCCCAGCUACUAGGGAGGCUGAGGCAGGAGAAUCACUUGAACCCGGGAGGCAGAGCUUGUGGUGAGCUGAGAUCACGCCACUGCACUCCAGCCUGGGUAACAGAGUGAGACCCUGUCUCAA